AACAGAGAGUAGCUUGCUACUUUGCUGACGAGCGGCGGACGGGUGAGUAAUGCUUGGGAAUAUGCCUUUUGGUGGGGGACAACAGUUGGAAACGACUGCUAAUACCGCAUAAUGUCUACGGACCAAAGUGGGGGACCUUCGGGCCUCACGCCAAAAGAUUAGCCCAAGUGGGAUUAGCUAGUUGGUAAGGUAAUGGCUUACCAAGGCAACGAUCCCUAGCUGGUUUGAGAGGAUGAUCAGCCACACUGGGACUGAGACACGGCCCAGACUCCUACGGGAGGCAGCAGUGGGGAAUAUUGCACAAUGGGCGCAAGCCUGAUGCAGCCAUGCCGCGUGUGUGAAGAAGGCCUUCGGGUUGUAAAGCACUUUCAGUAAGGAGGAAAGGGUAGUCUUUAAUAGAGGCUAUCUGUGACGUUACUUACAGAAGAAGCACCGGCUAACUCCGUGCCAGCAGCCGCGGUAAUACGGAGGGUGCGAGCGUUAAUCGGAAUUACUGGGCGUAAAGCGUACGCAGGCGGUUUGUUAAGCGAGAUGUGAAAGCCCCGGGCUCAACCUGGGAACUGCAUUUCGAACUGGCAAACUAGAGUGUGAUAGAGGGUGGUAGAAUUUCAGGUGUAGCGGUGAAAUGCGUAGAGAUCUGAAGGAAUACCGAUGGCGAAGGCAGCCACCUGGGUCAACACUGACGCUCAUGUACGAAAGCGUGGGGAGCAAACAGGAUUAGAUACC
rnacentral:rRNA from 1 species